rnacentral:lncRNA from 1 species
GGUCUCUCUCAGUUGGCUUAGGAGCUCCUGCAUGAGGUGGUGAUGAACUUCAAACUCAGCGAGUGAGUCAGCACCUCACCCUGGUCUUGCCCGUGGUGAAGGUGUGUCUCACAAGCUGGCUGAGGUCGAGAUCCCAGGGGAUCAUAGGUAACUAGAACCUCUCCCCAGAGACACUGACCCGCCGUUCCACAUCCACCCCCUGCUCAGGUGCUCGUGGAAGCCAGCAGAGGGUGUAGGGUCUCCUGGAGCCACAUCUCUGGAGUUACAUGAAGUUGUGGACCUCUCAACAUGGGUUCUGGGAACUGAACCCAGGUCCUCUGGAAGGACAUCGAGUGCUCUUAACCACUGAGCCAUCUCUGCAGCCUAACCCCAUCCCUUGGAGGCUGAAGCAAAGCAAGUUCAAUGACCGUGCGACCUGGCUCUUGUUUGGGCCUAAGGAAAAGCCGACUGUAAGCCGGGAAGCAUCUCUGGCAAGAACAAGGAAGGAUUAAGCACGUCUGUGGUUGUGCGCAGGGAUCACAAGGUGCUCCUGCAGUGGGAAGAGCCACCACUAGGGGCGCUCCAAGUCUUGUAUUUUCUACCUUGAAAACUCGUUUCCCUGUGGCUGCCCUCCAAAUCCAACGGAGAUGAAUGGCUUUUAGUUUACCUAGCUGAUUUAAUAAACUUUAAAAAUAAA